ACCAGACUCCUACGGGAGGCAGCAGUGGGGGAUAUUGCACAAUGGGGGGAACCCUGAUGCAGCGACGCCGCGUGGGUGAAGAAGCGCCUCGGCGCGUAAAGCCCGUUCAGCAGGGAAGAAAAUGACGGUACCUGAAGAAGAAGCCCCGGCUAACUACGUGCCAGCAGCCGCGGUAAUACGUAGGGGGCAAGCGUUAUCCGGAUUUACUGGGUGUAAAGGGGGCGCAGACGGCGAUGCAAGCCAGGAGUGAAAGCCCGGGGCCCAACCCCGGGACUGCUCUUGGAACUGCGUGGCUGGAGUGCAGGAGGGGCAGGCGGAAUUCCUGGUGUAGCGGUGAAAUGCGUAGAUAUCAGGAGGAACACCGGUGGCGAAGGCGGCCUGCUGGACUGCAACUGACGUUGAGGCCCGAAAGCGUGGGGAGCAAACAGGAUUAGAUACCCUCGUA
rnacentral:rRNA from 1 species